AGCGUCUGGGUCUCCAGUGCAGCAUGAGCAGGAAGCCAAACUUCUCAGCAGGACCCUUGGACACCAAGAAGUACGUGUGCAGCGUCAUGUGGAACCAGCUGUGUGGACUGAAGAAGGAUCAUCUGAUGACGAUGUAACGAUUCACGUGAGGAACAUGUGGCGUGACACGGCCUGACUUGAAGGUUCCAGACUGUUUUUGCCGAUUCCCCACAAUCCUUCAGUGCUGCAUGAGCUCCUGGACGAACCG